CGGAAGCUUUAAUUAUACAAUUUAUAAGUUGAUACACCCGAAGGUGAGUCCUAAUUUUGUCCAAUCUGUCAUAACACCGUCGAAUUCCUCGUAGUCACCACACCUUUGUGAUUCCUGAACCUGGAGGGGCGCAAAACCAAAAUUGAGUGGGUCAGUAAAACAAUUCUUUUCCAAAUCCAAACAUUUCUCAAAACGUUGUAACCCCUCUCCGUAAAACUUGUAUACUUUCCUAGAAAUGUAAAAUAUAAAUAUACAUAUAUAUUCUCAAAACUUCAUUUUUACUAUCUCAACAUUUUUCUUUAUCAAUCAUACCAUGCCAUGUCUAAAUCUAUCACUCUAAUAGCCCUGUACGGUUGAACCUAGAGUUCAAAAUCUAUCACUCUCAUUCUGCCGGAGUCACCUCUGUGACCUGUCCGGCCUUCUGCACACAAGUUACGCUCUAGUGCUUUCUCAUCAAUCAUCUGUGCACAUAAUCUAAGAUCACCCACCAGUCGAAAUCUCACUAACACUCUACGACUGGCCCGUCGCACCCACUCCGCGUGGACUGUGCGACCAGCAUCUACUUGGAUCCAAGGCGAGCGUGCGAUGCGGUGAAUACUAUAAGCACUAAAUCAUGGUGCAGGAUUUGAGCUCAAUAUAUAUCAACAUCAUCAUAACAAUAUUUAAAUACUCACCUGUGCGUCCGCCGCACCAAUUCAUACAUAUGCAUCAUAUAUCAAUUCAUAUCAUUUCAUGCAUGGCAAUUCGAUUCACAUUUUUCAUAUAAUUUUAUAUACUUUUCGCAUACUUCUAUGCAUGACAUUUCAACUAAUAUAUCUCAUAUACUUUUAUACAUUUUCAUUUAAAGCAUAAUUUCAUGCAUUUUCAAUUUCUGGGAAAAACGGUAAGUAUAUAUGUAUACGGAAAACAAAACUGCCCACUCACCUGGAGUUCGCCCUACAACUCCCUAGCACAAUACGCCAAGGCGUCAUGACGAUCGGCGCCUAAAACAAUAAUCAAUUCAAACCUCAGAAUUCAUAUCGAUAGAAUAUAUAACUUAUAUAAAAUACGUCACUACGUAGUUCGAUCCGGGAGAUCCACCACUCAGAUUUUAAAUCCAUAACUUCCAGAGGUCCACAAUAUAUCUCUAGGAUAACAUCCUAAAAUUUCAUUACCAUCCAACGGUCGGAUCUCCGUCAAUUUCCAAAACUAAGUGACGGUUACAUUCUAUUUUAUGAACUUACAACUCCAAUUCCGGAAGAUCCGUAAAUCGGAUUCCCAAUCCGUAAGUUCCAAUAAUCCUCAAAUAUUACGUAUUACAACGUAUCAAAGUUUGGUAACGAUCCAACGGUCUGAUCAUCAAUUCACAUUUUCACCUACGCGCCAGGGAAGGCACGGACGUCGACAUAUUUUUAAAAUAAUUUUUUACUGUAGCACGCGCCCCCACGCGCCAGGGAAGGCACGGGUCCACGCGCCGCCACGCGCACCUUCUUCUUCCUUGGGUCGCAGGACUGGUUUUUCCGGCGGUCGUUUUUCAAAUUGCCAUAACUUUGUCAUUUCUCAACGAAAUCAAGUGAUUUAAAAACGAAAGUUGUAGCCCUUGAAGAGACAAAGAGAAUGGUACCUUGCACAACACCUAGUUCGCCGUGGUUUGGCCGGAAACUUCCUCGAAAGCCUCGGAAGUCGCCGGAAACUGGGUAUUUUUCAAAUGAGUAUAACUUCUUCAAUACUCAACGAAAUUGAGCAAAACAAAAAGGAAAGUUGUAGUACUUGACGAGACGAAGAGAUUGAUACCUACCUCGACUCCUAACGCGCCGGGGAUUCGUCGGAAAAAGCCUCGAAAGCUCCGGCCAAACUUUGAACUUGUCGAUCUCCGUGUUCUUACGUCCAAAAACUUCCAACGAAGCACUCCGAGCUUCCUUGAGACCUCACUAAGCUUCCUACAAGCUUGUUUUAGCCUAAAACGUAACCAUUUAAAAGAUCAUGAACAGUGCUCUUCACGAGAAUUUUGAAACUAGGGUUUUCCGAACCAAAACUUACCUGAAAUGGAUACCAUCGUGAUCGUGGAGGUUCCAGGAGUUUGAUGGUGGUCUUAACUCCGUCGUUGGUGGAAGUUUAAGGUUGUUUUGUGGUUGGUUUGUUCGAACGGAGAAGAAGAGUGACAGAGAGAGUGAGAGAGUCGUGGGAAGAGAGAGAGAGACAGCAUGCAGAAAAUAGGGAGAGGAUUGAGGGGUGUGGGGAUCCCACGUGGUCAUUUUCCAAUCCCCAACUCCAAACCACAAAAUUUUAACCUAAAAAUCUAAGUUCCAUCCUUAUUAAUUCCAUUUUAUUGUCACAGCCCGUCCCGGAAUUUUAAUUCCGAGGACGUGAAAAGACGAAAAUGCCCUUAAACGGGACUAAGGGGCGAAAAUUUAACAAUUUGGAUUGAGUUGGACACGUGGGAUCCCCACAUCCCUCAAAACCUUCCCCAAUUCCCGUACCUUGUCUCUCUCUCUCUCCUCCCUCACGAAACUCUCAGUUCUCUCCCUCUCUUUCGAAUUCACACGGACCACCACAAAACCACCCUAAAUCUAUACCAACGACGAAUCUAAGACCACCAUUGGAACCCUGAAGACUUCACGAUCACGAUGGUAUCCAUUUCAGGUAAGUUUUGCUUCGAAAAACCCUAGUUUCAAAGUUCCCGUGAAAUGGUACUGUUCAUGAUCUUUUAAAUGGUUACGAUUUAGGCUAAAACAAAAUCACAGCGAGCUUAGUGAGGUCCCAAGGAAGCUCGGAGUGCUUCGUUGGAAGUUUUUGGACGUAAGAACACGGAGAUCGACAAGUUCAAAGUUUGGCCGGAGCUUUCGAGGCUUUUUCCGGCGAAUCCCCGGCGAAUUAGGAGUCGAGGUAGGUAUCAAUCUCUUCGUCUCGUCAAGUACUACAACUUUCCUUUUUGUUUCACUCAAUUUUGUUGAGUAUUGAAUAAGUUAUACUCAUUUGAAAAAUACCCAGUUUUCGGCGACCUCCGAGGCUUUCGAGGAAGUUUCCGGCAAAACCACGGCGAACUAGGUGUUGUGCAAGGUACCAUUCUCUUUGUCUCUUCAAGGGCUACAACUUUCGUUUUUGAAUCACUUGAUUUCGUUGAGAAAUGACAAAGUUAUGGCAAUUUGAAAAACGGCCGCCGGAAAAACCAAUCCGGCGACCCAAGGAAGAAGAAGGUACGCGUGGGGGCGCGUAGGUCCGUGCCUUCCUUGGCGCGUGGGGGCGCAACUUUGUCAUUUCUCAACGAAAUCAAGUGAUUCAAAAACAAAAGUUGUAGCCCUUGAAGAGACAAAGAGAAUGGUACCUUGCACAACACCUAGUUCGCCGUGGUUUUGCCGGAAACUUCCUCGAAAGCCUCGGAGGUCGCCGAAAACUGGGUAUUUUUCAAAUGAGUAUAACUUAUUCAAUACUCAACAAAAUUGAGUGAAACAAAAAGGAAAGUUGUAGUACUUGACGAGACGAAGAGAUUGAUACCUACCUCGACUCCUAACUCGCCGGGGAUUCGCCGAAAAAACCAGUCCGGCGACCCAAGGAAGAAGAAGGUGCGCGUGGGGGCGCGUAGGUCUGUGCCUUCCUUGGCGCGUGGGGGCGCGUGCUACAGUAAAAAAUUAUUUUAAAAAUAUGUCGACGUCCGUGACGUCGAGUAGAUCACUGUGGUAUAUUCAUAUACCCAAAUUGAGCACCGUAUGAGAAAGUUAUUAAGGAUUGUUGUUUAGGUGUUCAAAUAACGUUUUAUAGUUUUUGCAUUUAGGUGAUAAUAUGAAUUGACGAUCCGACCGUUGGAUCGUUACCAAACUUUGAUACGUUGUAAUACGUAAUAUUUGAGGAUUAUUGGAACUUACGGAUUAGGAAUCCGAGUUACGGAUCUUCCGGAAUUGGAAUUGUAAGUUCAUAAAAUAAAAUGUUAACCGUCACUUAGUUUUGGAAAUUGACGGAGAUCCGACCGUUG
rnacentral:lncRNA from 1 species